rnacentral:rRNA from 1 species
AGAGUUUGAUUCAUGGCUCAGAUUGAACGCUGGCGGCAGGCCUAACACAUGCAAGUCGAGCGGAUGAGGGUAGCUUGCUACCUGAUUCAGCGGCGGACGGGUGAGUAAUGCCUAGGAAUCUGCCCGAUAGUGGGGGACAACGUUUCGAAAGGAACGCUAAUACCGCAUACGUCCUACGGGAGAAAGCAGGGGACCUUCGGGCCUUGCGCUAUCGGAUGAGCCUAGGUCGGAUUAGCUAGUUGGUGGGGUAAAGGCUCACCAAGGCGACGAUCCGUAACUGGUCUGAGAGGAUGAUCAGUCACACUGGAACUGAGACACGGUCCAGACUCCUACGGGAGGCAGCAGUGGGGAAUAUUGGACAAUGGGCGAAAGCCUGAUCCAGCCAUGCCGCGUGUGUGAAGAAGGUCUUCGGAUUGUAAA